rnacentral:rRNA from 1 species
UACGUAGGGGGCAAGCGUUAUCCGGAUUUAUUGGGCGUAAAGCGCGCGUAGGCGGCCGAUCGCGUCGGAUGUGAAAGCUCGGGGCUCAACCCUGAGAGGCCAUUCGAUACGGGUCGGCUAGAGGCAGGUAGGGGAAGGUGGAAUUCCUGGUGUAGCGGUGAAAUGCGCAGAUAUCAGGAGGAACACCGGUGGCGAAGGCGGCUCUCUGGGACGGUACUGACGCUGAGACGCGAAAGCGUGGGGAGCGAACAGG